rnacentral:tRNA from 1 species
CGUGGUAUGGCUCAGUGGUAGAGCACAUGCUUAGCAUGCAUGAGGUUCUGGGUUCAAUCCCCGGUACCUCCA